rnacentral:rRNA from 1 species
GAUGAACGCUAGCGGCAGGCCUAACACAUGCAAGUCGAGGGGUAACGUGAGUGCUUGCACUUGACGACGACCGGCGCACGGGUGCGGAACGCGUAUGGAACCUACCUUUAUCAGGGGGAUAGCCCAUGGAAACGUGGAUUAAUACCCCAUAGUAUUAUAUCAUUGCAUGAUGAUUUAAUUAAAGAAUUUCGGAUAGAGAUGGCCAUGCGUAUCAUUAGCUAGUAGGCGAGGUAACGGCUCACCUAGGCGACGAUGAUUAGGGGUCCUGAGAGGGAGAUCCCCCACACUGGUACUGAGACACGGACCAGACUCCUACGGGAGGCAGCAGUGAGGAAUAUUGGGCAAUGGAGGCAACUCUGACCCAGCCAUGCCGCGUGCAGGAAGACGGCCCUAUGGGUUGUAAACUGCUUUUAUACAGGAAGAAACUGCGCUACGAGUAGCGUACUGACGGUACUGUAAGAAUAAGGAUCGGCUAACUCCGUGCCAGCAGCCGCAGUAACAC